rnacentral:lncRNA from 1 species
CUCCUCACCGAGAACUGCCCCUCGCCGGCGGACUACAAGAGGGCAGCCGGGCAGAGCGAGCUUCCUCUCGGCAGCUCAGCGGUGCCCCUUCUGCAGCUUUGCCGCCGGGCACAUUUUUAUAGCAGCGGCUGGCGUCUGUGGCCCUUUAAAGGCGCUCGAGCUGGUGCAGUCACCGCGGAUCGUGUGAAAGCAAAGGGCCGGCUGGGGAACGGAGUCCACGCGGCCACGCGAGUCCGGCAGCCCUGUGGACCGGCCAAGGCUCCCGGGGUGGGGCUGGCGAGUCCGGGCUAUGGGCAGCCCUCGCCCGGAGCCCUGGCCAGUGCCCGGCUUCUAAAGCUGUCGGGGGCCAGGGCCCGGGACACCGGCUCUCCCCACCGCCCUGCGUGGACUUGCCCAAUAAAUUCCACUUAGUAAUUUCACUGAGGCAAAGGAGAGCCGUUAGUGUCUGUUUUCUGACCUAAAUCUAGUCGGGGGCCAAAACGGGCUUCAGGGGUUUUGGGAGAGAGCUGUGGGCUCAAGGAGUGACCUGGAAGAGCGGGGCGCACACGAGACGGGGGAAUGGUCAUUAGUUUUCUGCAGGGCUGUCUUGGAGCCUGUCUGCCUUUUGGGGGGGCUGUACUAUCUCAUUCGUUGAAGAGCUGAGGCUGGGGGCUCCUUUUCCUCUUAAAGUCGCCAGAUUCUGGGCAGAGUCGCAUGGGGGGCCUAUAUGGCAGCGGUGGCUCUUCUAGAAGUUCUGAGCUGGGGUUGGGUUCGAGGGUUUCUGUUCUGUGGUCAUCCAGGGCAGGAGGCUGGCAGGAUGCGACCCGGAGAAAUGCUACUCUCCCGGACCGUGGGGCCAGGUACAGCUCACUAGGCUCGCCGAAAAGCCAACAGUAGGCAACGGGGUACGAAGAGCUUGCCCCAGGGUUCGCGGAGAUUCCUCCUGCCUUCCCACGAUGUCAGGUUGUUUUAUUGUAACUACAUAAUCAUUCCCGUCUAGCAAGAAUAACGUUUUGCAUUUGGAGUUCGUCUUUCUUAGGUAGAGAUGUUGUCUUACAAAUCCUUACUGGAAAGAGGUCUGGGUCUUCUCCUUCACCUCAAUUCGGAUUCUUUGUGGCCAAGAAAUUCCCACCUUACCACUUACAGGGAGGCCAUCGGGAUUACCCCUCUGUCACCCCCCCACCCCGCCCCGGCCCCGCCGCUCUUUUUUUGCUGCCUUUCAGCAACAGCGACUCAGUUUACACUGUUUAUAAAACAUACUCUUUAAGAAAAGGUCCUGAUGUUAAAAAAGGGGGGGAGGGAAUGUCACGAAGUCAUUUUCACUAUGUAUGUGUUCUGUCUUCUUAAUUGGAUUUGAAGACCUGAAGUUCUCUUUUUCUUUUCUUUUUCUUUUUUUAGUAGCCCCAAGUGCCCUGCAUUUGCUCUUCUAACAAAGUUCUGUUUGUUGACGGACUGACCGGCUUACCGACACAAAGAUGGGAAGCAAAUGGAGAGACGGAUCAAGGCCCUUCCUCGGCAUCUGGAGGAAGCUUGGGCGAGUGUCUUGGUCGCCAGAGAUGGGGUUUCAUGAUGUUGCCCAGUUCUUGAACUCCUGAGCUCCAGUGAUCAGUCUGCCUCGGCUGCCCAAAGUGCUGCGAUUACAAGUGUGAGCCACCGCGCUGGCCUAUAAUGUGUUCUUUACUCAUGUAUAUGUUUUUUAAUUUCCAUAAUAAAUUUUUUACAACUAUU